GAGUUUGAUCCUGGCUCAGGACGAACGCUGGCGGCACGCCUAACACAUGCAAGUCGAACGGAGAUAUGAAGAUUUAUCGGAAUAUCUUAGUGGCGGACGGGUGAGUAACACGUGAGCAACCUGCCUUUGAGAGUGGAAUAGCUUCUGGAAACGGAUGGUAAUGCCUCAUAACAUACAAGAAUCGCAUGGUUUUUGUAUCAAAGAUUUAUCGCUCAAAGAUGGGCUCGCGUCUGAUUAGAUAGUUGGUGGGGUAACGGCUCACCAAGCCGACGAUCAGUAGCCGGACUGAGAGGUUGAACGGCCACAUUGGGACUGAGACACGGCCCAGACUCCUACGGGAGGCAGCAGUGGGGAAUAUUGCACAAUGGGGGAAACCCUGAUGCAGCGAUGCCGCGUGGAGGAAGAAGGUUUUCGGAUUGUAAACUCCUGUCUUAAAGGACGAAAAUGACGGUACUUUAGGAGGAAGCUCCGGCUAACUACGUGCCAGCAGCCGCGGUAAUACGUAGGGAGCGAGCGUUGUCCGGAAUUACUGGGUGUAAAGGGAGCGUAGGCGGGAUUUUAAGUCAGAUGUGAAAUACGUGGGCUCAACCUACGGGCUGCAUUUGAAACUGAAAUUCUUGAGUGAAGUAGAGGCAAGCGGAAUUCCUGGUGUAGCGGUGAAAUGCGUAGAUAUCAGGAGGAACACCGGUGGCG
rnacentral:rRNA from 1 species